rnacentral:rRNA from 1 species
GUAGGGAAUAUUGCACAAUGGAGGAAACUCUGAUGCAGCGACGCCGCGUGAGUGAUGAAGGCCUUCGGGUCGUAAAGCUCUGUCGCAGGGGAAUAACACAAUGAAGGUACCCUGUAAGAAAGGAUCGGCUAACUUCGUGCCAGCAGCCGCGGUAAGACGAGGGAUCCUAGCGUUGUUCGGAAUCAUUGGGCGUAAAGCGGAUGUAGGUGGCUAUGUAAGUCAGAUGUGAAAGCCUGGGGCUCAACCCCAGAAGUGCAUUUGAUACUGCGUAGCUUGAGUGUCGGAGAGGUUACUAGAAUUGUUGGUGUAGUGGUGAAAUACGUAGAUAUCAACAGGAAUACCGGAGGCGAAGGCGGGUAACUGGCCGAACACUGACACUGAGAUCCGAAAGCGUGGGGAUCAAACAGGAUUAGAAACCCGUGUAGUCC